rnacentral:lncRNA from 1 species
CCAGGGUGGGAGAAGGAGUGUUCACUGAAGAAAUCUGUAUGAUGGACUAGUGAAGGCAACUGGCCCGAACUACCGCUGCUGAGCCAUCUGGUUGCACCUUCAGGGAUGUUCAUGCACUGAGAAGUAUUAGGUGAUAACUUCAUUAGAGCCUAAAGAGAAAAAUUUGCUAAUUCGUUCACUUAUUCAACAAGCAAAUACUGAAUAAUAUUAACAGUCUAGGCUACCGAAUGAGAUGCAUGAAAGAAGUCUGUGACCUGGCGCAGAACAGACCAGUGAAGCGUAUGCUGGAUUGGAAGAACCAUCUUUGGCCUGAAGACUUUGUACAGGUCUGUGCUAAGUAAUGGGAAUUACGAGAUGUUGAAGACCCAGUCUCCCAUCUUGAGAAGUCUUGAAUUGAGUAAAGGCUGCC